AGGAUGAGGAAGCUCAGCUCAAGGUGGAGAAAGAUAAACAAGAAUUGACUCAAGAGGAAUUAAAUGUGAAGGCUAAUGGUAUUUUGGAGAAAAGAGUGAAGGAGAAUGGUGUCAUUCAUUAAUUUGUUUUAGAUUAAAUAAUAUCUGUAAUCUAAAUAAUGUAUUAAAAAAAUGUAAUAAAAAUGCAAAAAAAAAAAAAUUACCAAAUAUGAAAGCAUAUAUAGUUUUUUUUUUUUUACCGUAGAAAUGAUAUAUAGUUAUGUUUUACUAUAUUUUUGUACAUGUUCAUAAUUAGCUGCUUUAAUUAAACUUUCCAAUAUAUUACAAAUAAAAUAUAUUUUAAGAUUUUGUAUGAAAUAAUUUAAAUUUAUGUGUGUGUACUAUUUCUUCCUGAAAAUGGAAUCAAGUUUGUAGUAUUUAAAUAUUAAUCAAACUUUUUAAAAUUUGCG
rnacentral:lncRNA from 1 species